GACAGAGGAUGCAAACGUUGCUCGGAAUUACUGGGCGUAAAGGGCGCGUAGGCGGGAUGGCAAGUCGGUCGUGAAAUCCCUCGGCUCAACCGAGGAACGUCGAUCGAUACUGCUGUUCUUGAGGAUUGCAGAGGAGACUGGAAUUCCCGGUGUAGCGGUGAAAUGUGUAGAGAUCGGGAGGAACACCGGUGGCGAAGGCGGGUCUCUGGGCAAUUCCUGACGCUGAGGCGCGAAAGCGUGGGGAGCAAACGGG
rnacentral:rRNA from 1 species